CAGAGGGGGCAAGCGUUGUUCGGAAUUACUGGGCGUAAAGGGCGCGUAGGCGGCCUUCUAAGUCGAACGUGAAAUCCCCGGGCUCAACCCGGGAACUGCGUCCGAUACUGGAAGGCUUGAAUCCGGGAGAGGGAUGUGGAAUUCCAGGUGUAGCGGUGAAAUGCGUAGAUAUCUGGAGGAACACCGGUGGCGAAGGCGCCCACCUGGCCUGCUACUGACGCUGAAGCUCGAAAGCUAGGGGAGCAAACGGG
rnacentral:rRNA from 1 species